UCGCGUGGCUUCCGAUUGAGGAUGGAUGCUUAAAAUACGUGUCUCCUCUUGAAAUUCAGGAAGGAUGCUUAAACAACCGCCUCUCUUCUUGAAAUUCACCACCGAUUCCGUGUUUCUUUAGUUCCAUCUUUGAAUUCAAUCAAUGCUGAGUUAUCACAGGAGGAGCAUGGCUUGGCUUUGCCAACACGUUUUCAUUCCGUUAGUCUAAUGCAGCCAUUUUGUACCAAAGAUCUUCGGUAUGUACCUGAUGUGCUGUGGUGGCCUCAGAAUCAUUCAGUGACAGAAAGGAAUGCUAUUGUUGUUCUGUUAGUUAAAUACAAGAUUUCCAGUAUUAA